UACGUAGGCAGCGAGCGUUGUUCGGAGUUACUGGGCGUAAAGGGUGUGUAGGCGGUUCUUUAAGUUUGGUGUGAAAUCUCCCGGCUCAACCGGGAGGGUGCGCCGAAUACUGAGGGACUCGAGUGCGGGAGAGGAAAGGUGGAAUUCCUGGUGUAGCGGUGAAAUGCGUAGAUAUCAGGAGGAACACCGGUGGUGUAGACGGCUUUCUGGACCGUAACUGACGCUGAGACACGAAAGCGUGGGUAGCAAAACAGG
rnacentral:rRNA from 1 species